UGGGGGAUAUUGCACAAUGGGCGAAAGCCUGAUGCAGCGACGCCGCGUGGGGGAUGAAGGCCUUCGGGUUGUAAACUUCUUUUGCUCUGAACAAGGCGCACCAUGGGGUGUGUUGAGUGUAGGGGUUGAUUAGCGCCGGCUAACUACGUGCCAGCAGCCGCGGUAAUACGUAGGGCGCGAGCGUUGUCCGGAAUUAUUGGGCGUAAAGGGCUUGUAGGUGGCUGGUUGCGUCUGUCGUGAAAGCUCAUGGCUUAACUGUGGGUGUGCGGUGGGUACGGGCUGGCUUGAGUGCAGUAGGGGAGGCUGGAAUUCCUGGUGUAGCGGUGGAAUGCGCAGAUAUCAGGAGGAAUACCGGUGGCGAAGGCGGGUCUCUGGGCUGUUACUGACACUGAGGAGCGAAAGCAUGGGGAGCGAACAGG
rnacentral:rRNA from 1 species